UACGUAGGGGGCAAGCGUUGUCCGGAUUUAUUGGGCGUAAAGAGCGUGUAGGCGGCCAGGGAGGUCCGCUGUGAAAACUCGAGGCUCAACCUCGAGAUGUCGGCGGAAACCACUUGGCUAGAGUCCGGAAGAGGAGAGUGGAAUUCCUGGUGUAGCGGUGAAAUGCGCAGAUAUCAGGAAGAACACCUAUGGCGAAGGCAGCUCUCUGGGACGGUACUGACGCUGAGACGCGAAAGCGUGGGGAGCGAACAGG
rnacentral:rRNA from 1 species